rfam:Heligmosomoides polygyrus genome assembly, scaffold: HPBE_scaffold0001338
GCGCCGGUGGUGUAAUGACGUAGAGCAUUCCCGCCCGGUCAGAGGGAGGUGCGGGUUCGAGUCCCGCCUGGCGCU